AUGGUGAUGACCACAGCCCCUGGCCUGUAUGAGGCAAACUGGUUAGUGUCAGUGUCAGUUGGAGUACAGGAGGUUUUUGUACAGCCACUGAUUGAGUUUGUAUCAGUGUGGUACACGUUCGGUGGAGGCACCCGGCUCUCUGUUGGAACUGCGGCUCGUCCCGCUCUCACAGUGCUGCUGCCCUCCAGAGACGAGCUGCAGCAGGGGAAGGCUACAGUGCUGUGUGUGGCCAGUAAGGGAUACCCCUCUGACUGGAAGCUGAGCUGGAAGGUGGACUGCAGCAGCAGGAGCUCUGGUGUGGAUCUGAGUCCCAGUCAGCUGCAGAAGGAUGGACUGUACAGCUGGAGCAGCAGCCUGAGCCUCACUGAGAGUGAGUGGAGCAGAGCAGCAACCGUCAGCUGUGAAGCCACGCACCCGUCCCUCACUGCAGUCACCAAGAGCCUCAACACAAAGCAGUGUGAUGACCAGUGAAAUACACCAACAGACACACUGUCCUUAUUAAGCCGCUGCUCAACAAUUAAUCUUUCGUGCUGUUAGUAUAUUUUUCAUAUAGGUCUUAUUGUUGUGAUUCUACAUCUGCCAUGCUUUGAAUGUUUUAUGUUAUUCUUGCUGCCAAAUAAAAGCAUUUUGACUC